rnacentral:rRNA from 1 species
UACGUAGGGUGCGAGCGUUGCCCGGAUUUAUUGGGCGUAAAGGGCGCGCAGGCGGUCACGCACGUCCGUUGUGAAAUCGCUCGGCUCAACUGGGCGGGGUCAGCGGAUACGGCGCGACUGGAGCAAGGCUAGGGGCAAUGGAAUUCCCGGUGUAGUGGUGGAAUGCGUAGAGUAUCGGGAGGAACACCAGUGGCGAAGGCGGUUGCCUGGAGCUUUGCUGACGCUGAGGCGCGAAAGCGUGGGAGCGAGUCCGG